CAACACUUCCACGCAGUAGACACAUUGAGUGUGCAAGAGAUUUAAUUAGCAAAAACAAAACAUCAAAGAGAAUUGAAAUGGCCUCCUCAAUGCUCUCCACCGCCACCGCCGCCACCACCGCCGUCAGCUCGGCACAAGCCAGCAUGGUGGCUCCAUUCACCGGACUUAAGUCCUCCGUCGCUUUCCCCGCCACCCGCAAGAGCGCCGACAUCACCACCAUCGCUAGCAAUGGCGGCAGAGUUUCUUGCAUGAAGGUGUGGCCAACUGUUAACAACAAGAAGUACGAGACACUGUCGUACCUUCCCCCACUAACCAGGGAGCAACUCAUCAAGGAAGUUGAUUACCUUCUCCGCAACAAGCUCAUCCCCUGCAUCGAGUUCGAGUUGGAGCACGGAUUUGUGUUCCGUCAGUACAACAGCUCCCCAGGGUACUACGAUGGCCGAUACUGGACAAUGUGGAAGUUGCCCAUGUUCGGAUGCACAGACGCAGUGCAGGUUGUGAACGAGCUCGACGAGGCAAUCAAGGCGUACCCGGAGGGCUUCAUCAGAAUCAUCGGAUUCAACAACCUGAAGCAAGUCCAGGACAUCAGUUUCAUUGCCUACAAGCCAGCUGGCUACUGAUUACUACAACCUGGGACGAUCGUAUGUUGAUUAAUAUAAUGAUGAUUAAUUGUCGUCGUUAAUUAAUCAUCAAUGCUUCGUUUUCUUUAUUUCUUUUAUCAAUAUUUGUAUCAUUUCUUGGAUUUUUCGUUCUUUUUGUGUUUUGUCAUUUCCUUUCUCUUUUCUCUCUCUAUGAUGGGAAUUGAUCCAUUGGAAUAUGUUAUGAGCAUAAAUAUUGUUAUAUAAACAAUUGGAAUACGUUUUACUUAAUAAAUCCAUAUUGUUUUUCUU